AAUGGAAGGUUAAACAGGAGUUAGGCUACAUGUUGGUGGGGAAGGUGGUUUGGAGAGAAAUUAUUGCCGGUAAAUUCUCAGCCUUUUUUCCUUAGGAAAAUGAACCCUCAAACCACCUUGGUUUGGGGUCAGCAUGAAACAAUGUUAGCUUUGGCUAGUAAGCGUCAUCACCUCCAGGCCCCUCAGGAAGAAAUUUAGAGCAAAGAAUGGAGGUCAGGGUUCAGUCCUCAGUUUUCCCUUAUCUUAGGUCUACGUGCCAGUAGAUCCAUUUGGUGGAGGUCCAGGUUUCUGAAAAACCACAGGAGGACAUAUGUUAAGAGGUUAUCUUUAGUUCCCUUAGGGAACAAACCAUCUUUUGACUCUAACGCCUCUUCUACUUGGUCACUUGCUUCAUCUAAGCUAGCAAGUUAGACAGUCUUGGCUGGUGCAGUGGCUCAUGCCAGUAAUCCCAGCACUUUGGGAGGCCAAGGUGGAAGGAUAGCUUGAGGCCAGGAGUUUGAGACCAGCCUGGGCAACAUACAGUGAGCUAUGAUUGCACCACUGCGCUCCAGCCUAGGCCACAGAGUGAGCCCUUCUCUCAAAGAGAGAGAGUCUGCUAACAAGACAAAAGUCACAUCUAUGACUAAUCCUGAAAGUGACAUUCUGUGACCUUUUGUUCACAAGUAGGUUACAGGUCCUAUUUAUACUCAAAGGAAGGAUACUACACAAGGCCAUAAAUACCAAGAGAUGAGGGCCACUGGGGGGUCAUCUUAGAAGCUGCCUACAGAAUUAAUUAGUUAAUUAACAGCAACAUGUUGUUAUUGUCCAUGUAGCUCCUCAUUCUGUUAACAAGGUCACAGAAUGUAUGUCUAGAAUAGCGUUGAUCAAACCCUGUUCUGUGUAACCCUAAAGAACUAUGAGGUGUUGAGAGAUGUCUAUGGCCUGGUGAGUUUGAGAAACACUGGAUUGAACCAUGUAAAACUAGCUUGUGACAUUUUCUGAAUUGAAAAUACAAAUACGACCUGUGAUCUUCCUGGAAGAAGACAUGAUCAUAUGGCUAAAGAAUCAUAAAAGUUGUUUUUCUCCCCUUGCAGAUCACAUAUAAGCCUCUUAUAGCACAAUCUGGGAAAUGCUGACCCAUAUGUGAAUGAAUAUUGGGUGCCACCCCAAACACUGGUUUUAACACAGCUGGUAAAAGAGAACUGUGAAAAGCCAUACCUCUGGUAGAUGAUUGUGGGAUGAAUGAAUGAAUUUGGAGUUUACACAAAGCAGUCAGAAUUGUUGUUCAAACAGAGAAAAAACAAAGCCAAGGUCAGGAGAGAUGUGGGCCCUAGAUGGCACUCAUGAUUCUGUUUCUUCACCAUGAGGCCUACUGUUCUUUGAAAGCAGGACAGUCUUAUUCCAAGUAUUGGUUCUUUCUCCAAAGGAGGCUAGGCACAAAAUUGUGGAUGAACCGGUAUAAACCAUUACCUGCUAUUAGGAAAACUACUUGAAUAAACUUCUUUUGCUAUUUUUAUAAAGCAUCUAGUCUAUAUAUUUCCAUUAAAUUUUAUAACUUGAUUUGUUGCCUUCAGCCCAAACCCUAGUUUAUUCCUAACAGGCCCCAAAUCAGGAUGAAUCGUAUUGGCAGAUGUUGGGUGCCAAGACUGAAGUCACUUAUUCGAAAGGGCUCAGAAUUAUUACGGCAAAUUGAAACUCCAAAUACAAUUUGUAUCAUUAACCUCUUAGGGAUUAUAUUUUUGACUUUCUCCUAUGUGACAUAUAUCUGGUCACAUAUUCAUUGUGAACCAGUGCUUAAAAUGCAUAAUCCUCAAAGGUUACUCGCAAUCAUUUAAAAGACCCUAUAUUCAUCUCAAAACCCAGAACCGGGAGAUAAGGUUUGAGAAAUGGCUGAAUGGGAUACUGGAAUAAACAAACCAUUUCAUAGUUCUUAAAAUAAAGCACUUAUGGAGCACAUUUUUAUCUACAAAGCUUGAGAAAUGAAUGUAUUAAUCCUCACAACAUUCUUCAUAUUAUUCUCACCACAUAAUAAAUAGGGAGCAAGG
rnacentral:lncRNA from 1 species